CAGUCGCCACGGUAAUACGUAGGUGGCAAGCGUUGUCCGGAAUUAUUGGGCGUAAAGGGCUCGCAGGCGGUUUCUUAAGUCUGAUGUGAAAGCCCCCGGCUCAACCGGGGAGGGUCAUUGGAAACUGGGAAACUUGAGUGCAGAGGAGGAGAGUGGAAUUCCACGUGUAGCGGUGAAAUGCGUAGAGAUGUGGAGGAACACCAGUGGCGAAGGCGACACUCUGGACGGCAACUGACACUGAGGCUCGAAAGCCAGGGGAGCGAACGGGAUUAGAUACCCCUGUAGUCCCUGUCUCUUAUAA
rnacentral:rRNA from 1 species